AGGGGAAGGGCUCAUUGCCUUGUAUAAUUAAUAUAUUUGUGUUUAAUAUUAUCUUUCGCUGCUCAUAUUUUAAUUUUCAAACAUUAUUUGAAUGGGAAUUACUCAUUUUUCCUUUUGCAAUCAAGUUGUCCGAGAUUCCUAAAGCAAAGUAUAUUGAUUUAGACAAGGUUAUUUCCUGGAGAGUACCUCAUGCAUAAACAUUAAUUUACUGUAAUAUAUUGAUCUUUCCUCUUUUGGAAAAACUUUCCGAACUCUUCUUUUUUAUAAAAAUAAAAAAUAAAAAAUAAAAAAAAUCUGUUAAAAAUGAAGCUUCCUGCUUAAGGCAUUAUGAGCUACCAUUUUUUAUUCAUUUCAUAUAAAAAUGAAGUUUAUUAGGGGUUCGUAAGAUUUAAGGGUUUAGGAAUUGAAGAAGAAGAAUUUAUGGCUCUAUAGACACAAGACUGCACAUGAGCUGUGUUUGUACCAUAACUGACCGAGCAACUAGCUAGGCUAGAUCAUUCGAGUGCCAUGCUUUGAAAGGUCAUCACCUUAGCCAAAGAAGCACCACCACAAAUCACAACUCUAAGCAAAGCAAAAGGAGUCCCACAUCGGAAAACUACAAGAGAUGGAGACUCCCCCUCACCUAUAAAAGAAGACUGCUCUUUACUUAGAAGGGGAUCCUGGUCUUGGAUCUAGACCCUUAGGCCUUGGACUCUCUCUUCUGGAUCCAUCUCUGGGCUGGGCUUCUCACUUGUUAUCUUUAUAUUUGGGUCUAAUCCCCUUGUACAAAUGUAAACGAACAUUAUGAGAACACCUUUCUCCGUGGACGUAGCCCAUCAUUCGGGUGAACCACGUAUAUCUUGUCUUCUAUAUGUUUAUCGUUUGUCCAAAUCCUCACACACUUGGUAAAGGUCCUCACCUUCAUCCAUCAUCCAUCACACCUCAUCACUAAGUUGGACUCAACCUUGGCCUAACCAUUUUGAGCAUCAACAGUUUGGCGCCGUCUGUGGGAAUUGACACAAAAGGCUUAUGUCGUUCUCCUCUUCUCCAAUGCCCUUCGGCAACCAUACAAUCAACGUCACCUAAGUUGCCGUUCGGCAAUAUCUUACUAAAGCAACAAUGAAUGCUAAGGCAACAAAUUGCAGAAGAUGAUAUUUUAGGAAAAGCCGAUCAGAAUGUGGCUAUCGCUUGCAUGGCUUGCAUGGCCAA
rnacentral:lncRNA from 1 species